CUGAAGGUAAGAAGACCAGUUGGGAAACUCUUCCCAGGAUGAGAAGGAGACAAUAGAAUGGAGAGGCCCACCACAGCCAGCAAAUAAGAACUGAGAAACCACAGACAGGUUGUGAGGCUGUAACAAGAAUUCAUUGCUGAAAAAGUGUCACACACUCAUCUGUCACUAAUGGCCAAGCUGCCAGCAACUAAGAGCAGCAAAGGGCAGCUGUACAUCUUCCUCUCACAAGGUCUAUCCACCACUCAAAACAUGGGAUUUAUAAGGAAAAGUCCCUGAACAGCAGGAAAAUCGCUUCAGUCGUGUCCAACUCUUCGCAACCCAAUGGACUGUAGCCUGCCAGGCUCCU